rnacentral:rRNA from 1 species
AGCGAACGCUGGCGGCAGGCUUAACACAUGCAAGUCGAACGCCCCGCAAGGGGAGUGGCCGACGGGUGAGUAACACGUGGGAACGUACCCUUUGGUUCGUGAUAACUUGGGGAAACUCAAGCUAAUACCGGAUAAGCCCUUCUGGGGAAGGGUUUACCGCCGAAGGAUCGGCCCGAGUCUGAUUAGAGAGUUGGUGAGGUAAUGGCUCACCAAGGGGACGAUCAGUAGCUGGUCUGGGAGGAUGAUCAGCCACCCUGGGACUGAGACACGGCCCAGACUCCUACGGGAGGCGGCAGUGGGGAAUAUUGGACAAUGGGGGCAACCCUGAUCCAGCCAUGCCGCGUGAGUGAUGAAGGCCUUAGGGUUGUAAAGCUCUUUUACCCGGGACGAUAAUGACUGUACCGGGAGAAUAAGCCCCGGCUAACUUCGUGCCAGCCGCCGCGGUAA